rnacentral:rRNA from 1 species
UACGAAGGGGGCUAGCGUUGCUCGGAUUGACUGGGCGUAAAGGGCGCGUAGGCGGUUUGUACAGUCAGACGUGAAAUUCCUGGGCUCAACCUGGGGCUGCGUUUGAUACGUGCAGACUUGAGUUCGGAAGAGGGUCGUGGAAUUCCAGGUGUAGCGGUGAAAUGCGUAGAUAUCUGGAGGAACACCGGUGGCGAAGGCGGCAUCCUGGACCGAUACUGACGCUGAGGAGCGAAAGCCAGGGGAGCAAACGGG